GCCGCCGCCGUCCUCGGGCAGGAACACGCGUUCGACGACGUGCUUCCCGGCGCCGCCGCCUGGCGGCGGCGGCAGCGGAGGGAGGAGCUGCACGGAUUCCCGCGGGUGCGGCGGCCGGAGCACAGUGUAGCGGUAUGGCGUGUUGAUGCCAAGCCGCCGCGGCGCUCGGUCGGUGGACUCGACGAGGAGACGGCCGUCGCGGCAGUCGGCGAUGGAUGGACGGUGGUAGCCGGCGAGGUGGCCGAACGCGCCGAAGUACCCAUGCCUCGUCCGGUGGGCGGCGGCGGCGGCGACGCCCGGAUGCUGCGGGAGUGCCUUGAACUGCGGCCGCCGCCCGACGUCGCCGCCGCCGUCGUCGACGCAGAAGCCUAGGAGGCGCGGCGGGUGGAUGACUCGGAAGCGGCGGAGGAAGAGGUCGCCGGAGGCGACGCGGAGCCAGUGCUUGCAGACGAUCGCGGCGGCGAUGAGGUGUUCGUGGGACUCGAGGCGGAGGAGGAUCUCGCCGAGGAGGUCCUCGUCGGAGAGC
rnacentral:sRNA from 1 species